GACGAACGCUGGCGGCGUGCCUAACACAUGCAAGUCGAACGGAAAGGCCCUGCUUUUGUGGGGUGCUCGAGUGCCGAACGGGUGCGUAACACGUGAGUAACCUGCCCUUGACUUUGGGAUAACUUCAGGAAACUGGGGCUAAUACCGGAUAGCAGCCCCUGCUGCAUUGUGGGGGUUGGAAAGUUUCGGCGGGUGGGGAUGGACUCGCGGCUUAUCAGCUUGUUGGUGGGGUAGUGGCUUACCAAGCCUUUGACGGGUAGCCGGCCUGAGAGGGUGACCGGCGACAUUGGGACUGAGAUACGCCGCAGACUCCUACAGGAGACAGCGGUGGCGAAUAUUGCACAAUGGGCGGGAGCCUGAUGCAGCGACGCCGCGUGCGGGAUGACGGCCUUCUGGUUGUGAACCGCUUUCGCCUAUGACGAAGCGUGAGUGACGGUAAUGGGUAAAGAAGCACCGGCUAACUACGUG
rnacentral:rRNA from 1 species